UCCUUUUUCAUACAUAUCCUCCUCUCGCUCUCGCCCCGCUCGCUUCCGAAGCUUCUCGAGCCCUCCUCCUCCGCCGCCGCCGCCGCCGCCUCCGCCUCGCCGCCGGCGCAGAGUCGCAGGAACGAUGAGCCGACGCAACAGCCGCACCAUCUAUGUGGGCAAUCUCCCCGGAGACAUUCGCGAGAGGGAAGUGGAGGAUCUCUUCUAUAAGUAUGGCCGUAUUGUGGAUAUUGACUUGAAAAUUCCUCCAAGGCCUCCUGGUUAUGCUUUUGUUGAGGGAAAGGAAUAGGCAAAUCUCUAAAAUGGAUAAGCUGGCAAGCACAGGUUUAUAAACAGGAGUUAGGUAUGGGUUGUGUGAUUUGAACGAUCAAGUAACGGAUACAAGACAUAGACCCCCUCCAGUUUGAAGACCCUCGUGAUGCACAAGAUGCAAUUUAUGGCCGUCAUGGAUAUGACUUUGAUGGCCACAGGUUGCGGGUGGAGUUAGCUCAUGGUGGCAGAGGCCCUUCUUUUGAUCGAUCAAGUAGCUAUAGCAGUGCUGGGCGCCGUGGUGCCGCUAAACGUACUGAUUACCGAGUUAUGGUUACUGGAUUACCUUCGUCAGCAUCAUGGCAAGACCUCAAGGAUCAUAUGAGGCGAGCUGGUGAUGUCUGUUUCUCUGAUGUUUACCGUGAGGGUGGAGCAACUAUUGGAAUUGUUGAUUAUACCAACUAUGAGGAUAUGAAACAAGCGAUAAGAAAGCUUGAUGACUCAGAGUUCCGUAAUGCAUUUUCACGGGCAUAUAUCAGGGUGAGGGAGUAUGAUUCUGCUAAGCGCAGCCGCUCUCGUUCCAGAGGUAGAAGCCACAGCCGCUCUAUCUCCAGAAGCAGAAGCCGCAGCCGCUCGAUCUCCAGAAGCAGAAGCCGCAGUUAUAGCAGAAGCAGGAGUCCAAGAUCUAGGUCUGCUUCUCGGUCUCACUCACCUGUGAAAGAAAGAUCUAGGUCGGCUUCACAGUCUCGCUCACCUGUGAAGGAAAGAUUUGGGACAUGCAGCUAUUUGGGUUGCGUUGGUAGGAUAUUGGAUGCGUUGAGAACCAAAGGAUGGUUUGGAACGUUGGAUAGUUCUGCUGGCUAGUGACAUACUGUAUGACAAGUGGACUACAACCAGCGAUAGGAGCAAGAUAGGGCUGGCUCUAAACAUAUUUGGACUUAUGGAGUGCAUUUCGUGAUCACCAUCAAGAUCCCCACCCCCUGCUACUUCUCCUCCUCGUGAAAAGUCAGCAAGCAAGAGCCCUGUCAAGAGCAGAAGUUUAUCCCGAUCCCCAUCUCCUGUGAAAUCUGAGUGAAGAUGGAUGCACUUGAAGCCUGCCAGAAACUAUUUCAUGAUUUGUGGAGCUGAGUUUCGGAAGGCAGUAGAUUGUGGAUUAUGGUUUAUCUGUUUCUGCGUUACCAUUGUUGUUACUUUUCAGAAGAGAGCCGUGUUAUUUCACUGUUGCUUGGUCAUGUCGUAAUAUCUGUCAGAAACAUUGCCUUACAUGCUUAGCGUUUUACUUGCCAUCACCAAUCUAUCAGACCUCGUAGCACAUGGUGCUCGAACUUCAUGCUAUACAUACAGCACUAUGAACUCUGCUAUAUUCUAAAGCUCAACUAUCUGUAGUAACUGCAGGAAGCCUUUGCGCUUCAAUUAUUGUCUUUUUACUCUAGUUUUUUAGAGCUUGUGCUUGUGUACUUGUAUGCACCUGUUAUGUUGUAAUUCUACAGAGUGGUUUUCCUCGCUUAAUUGUUGACA